rnacentral:rRNA from 1 species
UACAGAGGGUGCAAGCGUUAAUCGGAUUUACUGGGCGUAAAGAGCUCGUAGGCGGUGUGUCGCGUCGGCCGUGAAAACCUCGCAGCUUAACUGUGGGCUUGCGGUCGAUACGGGCAUCACUGGAGUUCGGCAGGGGAGACUGGAAUUCCUGGUGUAGCGGUGAAAUGCGCAGAUAAUAGGAGGAACACCGGUGGCGAAGGCGGGAUCUCUGGGCC